CGGCGAACGGGUGAGUAACGCGUGGAUAACCUGCCCUGAGGUGUGGGAUAACCAGGGGAAACUCUGGCUAAUACCGCAUGAUACCGAGAGGUCAAAGGGGGCUCGCAAGGGCUCUCGCCAUAGGAGGGGUCCGCGUACGAUUAGCUAGUUGGUAGGGUAAUGGCCUACCAAGGCGACGAUCGUUAGCCGGCCUGAGAGGGUGAUCGGCCACACUGGAACUGAGACACGGUCCAG
rnacentral:rRNA from 1 species